rnacentral:lncRNA from 1 species
UGAGAUACAGGAAUAAAGCAAAGUGAUAAAAUGUUAACAUUGGGGGAAUCUGGGUGAAAAGUAUGUAGGCCUAUGAGAAUUAUUUUUAUUAUUCAUGUAACUUUUCUGUGAGUCUAAAAUUGUAUCAAAGUUUAAAGUUAGGCUGGGUGUGGUGGCUUAUGCCUAUAAUCCCAGCACUUUGGGAGGCUGAGGCAGGCAUAUCAUUUGAGGUCAGGAGUUCGAGACCAGCCUGGUCACCAUGGUGAAACCCCAUCUAUUAAAAAUACAAAAAUUAGCCAGGCAUGGUGGCAUGUGUCUGUAAUCUCAGCUACUUGGGAGGCUGAGGCACGAGAAUCGCUUGAACUUGGGAGACAGAGGUUGCAGUGAGCCGAGAUCGUGCCACUGCACUGCAGCCUGUCUCUAAUAAUGAUAAUAAUAAUAAUAAUAAUAAUAGUAAGUUAAAGGAAGAGAAGAGAGCCAUUAGGCUCUGGUCCCUUCUUUGCUCUGUAUAAAUGUGUAAUUUUGGCUAAGUCUCUGCACCCCUGGGUCUCCUCCUGCCCUUCCAGUUGGAGGCCUCGUGGCUUGCCUUUCUUGUUCUGCCUCCUCCCAGCUAAUUUCCAGAUUGACACCUUGUCUCCUCUUCCUGAGUCAAUGUUUCUUUCGCACUGCGCCCUGAUAGCUGAUCUCUUUGGCUUAAAGCCCCUUGAGAUCUGGGCCACCAUGGAGGUUUUUGUCCAGCAUCCAGGACGUUUUUUGCCGACUUGGGCUUGUACUCCAAACAGAUCAAGACAACCCUCAAGUCAACUCAGAAGCAGGUCUUGUUUCCAUGGAGAUGUAUUUAAGAUGAGCCUCCAGAGCACAGCACUCAUUUACUUUGAGCAAAGACUCAACUCCAGAAUCCUUCCCAAUCCAACAGUCCAGGCUGUCAUUACUAAUCAGAAUGGGCAAGUGGUUUCCAACUCAUUUGCCAAGGUAGAGAAAAGAAGAGCAGGAAGAAAGAGGAUAAAGACAGAGGAACAAAUACCAGACCAGCAAACUUACCUGAAUCCAGCUGCCCUCAGAAUAUGGCUGAGGCUUGGUCAAAGCCCAGAACUUAGCAAGGGUUAG